rnacentral:misc_RNA from 1 species
GAUGAAGAACGUAGCGAAAUGCGAUAAGUAAUGUGAAUUGCUGAAUUCAGUGAAUCAUCGAAUCUUUGAACGCACAUUGCGCCCCCUGGUAUUCCGGGGGGCAUGCCUGUCCGAGCGUCAUUACAACCCUCAAGCUCAGCUUGGUGUUGGGCCCCGCCGCCCCGGCGGGCCCUAAAGUCAGUGGCGGUGCCGUCCGGCUCCGAGCGUAGUAAUUCUUCUCGCUCUGGAGGUCCGGUCGUGUGCUCGCCAGCAACCCCCAAUUUUUUUCAGGUUGACCUCGGAUCAGGUAGGGAUACCCGCUGAACUUAAGCAUAUCAAUAAGCGGAGGA